GGUUUUCGGACCCUAGAGCGGCGAACGGGUGAGUAACGCGUACGAAACCUACCUUUAAGAGAGGAAUAGCCCUGGGAAACUGGGAGUAAUACCUCAUAGUAUUCAUUGACCGCAUGGUUGAUGGAUUAAAGCUGAGGCGCUUAAAGAUGGUCGUGCGUCUGAUUAGCUAGUUGGUAGGGUAACGGCCUACCAAGGCUACGAUCAGUAGGGGGCGUGAGAGCGUGGCCCCCCACACGGGUACUGAGACACGGACCCGACUCCUACGGGAGGCAGCGGUAAGGAAUAUUGGGCAAUGGACGCAAGUCUGACCCAGCCAUCCCGCGUGCAGGACGAAUGCCCUAUGGGUUGUAAACUGCUUUUGUUUGGGAAGAAAUGUAUUCUUUUAAGAGUAUUUGACGGUACCAGACGAAUAAGCACCGGCUAACUCCGUGCCAGCAGCCGCGGUAAUACGGAGGGUGCAAGCGUUAUCCGGAAUCACCGGGUUUAAAGGGUGCGUGAAUUAUUGGGCGUAAAGAGCUCGUAGGUCGUUUGUUACGUCGGAUGUGAAAACCUG
rnacentral:rRNA from 1 species